rnacentral:tRNA from 1 species
GCCAAGGUGGCGGAGCGGCUACGCAAAUGCCUGCAGAGCAUUACCACUCCGGUUCGAAUCCGGACCUUGGCUC